UACGUAGGGACCGAGCGUUGUCCGGAAUCAUUGGGCGUAAAGAGCGUGUAGGCGGCUUGCUAAGUCUUGCGUGAAAUCUCGGGGCUCAACCCCGAGCGGUCGUGGGAAACUGGCUGGCUAGAGUGCGGGAGAGGAGAAUGGAAUUCCUGGUGUAGCGGUGAAAUGCGCAGAUAUCAGGAAGAACACCCGUGGCGAAGGCGGUUCUCUGGAACGCAACUGACGCUGAGACGCGAAAGCUAGGGGAGCAAACGGG
rnacentral:rRNA from 1 species